rnacentral:rRNA from 1 species
UACGAAGGGGGCUAGCGUUGCUCGGAUUUACUGGGCGUAAAGCGUGCGCAGGCGGUGAUGUAAGACAGGUGUGAAAUCCCCGGGCUUAACCUGGGAACUGCAUUUGUGACUGCAUCGCUGGAGUGCGGCAGAGGGGGAUGGAAUUCCGCGUGUAGCAGUGAAAUGCGUAGAUAUGCGGAGGAACACCGAUGGCGAAGGCAAUCCCCUGGGCCUGCACUGACGCUCAUGCACGAAAGCGUGGGGAGCAAACAGG